UCCUGCCCAACAGAUGACGCUGCUGUUUCUUUGUUCGUGUGCAAUUGUUCCAUUCGUGCAUCACAUCCGUUACUGGAGUGACUGCACCCACACUGCCCGGUGCCUGGACACAGCAAAACCAGAGAGCUUCAGGGAUUCUUUAGAUGGCAUUCUGCUGCCCAAAUAACUGCUUUCAAUAAAAAGCAGACCACAGAAACAAAUUCUGACAUAUCUAUCAAGGAUGACCUCAGAGCUAUAAGACCUCUGAUUAGAUUAUCUGGUUCUUCCAUAUUGUACUUGAAGCUGGAUUGCGAGGAGAGAGAAGUAUAUGUAAGCCACCUUUACAAUUUCCUGACUCUGCCCAGCAAGAAACAAAUACGGACUUCAUUAUAAUGCAGAGGAACAGAGACAGCUAUUUCCCUGCCUGAGGUCUCAGAGAAUUGUUCCAGCAGUUGAGCUAAACAAUGUCCUGACUAUCUCCUUAGCAAAAGAAAUGGAAUGAGUUGGCAUAAGCUGCUAUACCAACUCAAAACUCUCCAGAGAUCCCUUUUUCACAAUGUGAAACCUCAAAGGGCUGCACUACGAAAACCAGCUGUAGUGGAGCUGAAAGUUUGACCUCUGGACUCCAGCACUGUGCUCGUUUUAUGUGUGUGUGACUCCCACUGACACCAACUGAAGAGUCCAGCACAUGAGGACAGCAGAAUAUUAGACAAAAAAAAAUGUACUAUGUGAAUCUGAGAACAGAGUAUUAUUCUCUUGUGUCAAAUUAUUGCUCCAUCUGGUAACAUUAAGUGAAUACGAGUGACUA